UCAGACUCAUGAGGUCUUCGGCAUACAGCAGAUCGUAUUCCUCCAGCGGUAUCCACGCUUAAGCUUGUAUUUAACUACCAUUUGCAUGGCAGCUAAAUCAAACGGGGGAACGCCAGCAAGAACCUGCAGUGCCACAGUGGACACUGUUCGGCAUACCGAACACGUCUGCCGCGUCAUAUCAUACCGAGGCACCAAAUAGCGCACAGGGCACCAUGAGUCCGGCAUAAAUGGUCCGCCUAGCUCGAGGACUGAAACCCAAGUCUGCUCGAAGCGCACGCGCCAAUGCUGCAACGACUCUAGCCAUACGCUGUCAAAGGUUCCCGACGUGCUCGAGAAAUCUUAAGCCUUCGCCGACUGUGAUGCCAAGGUACCGGCAGCUGCUUACGUACGCAUAAUUACCGUCUUACUGGUGGAUACGUCAACACCGUCUUCCAUCCCCCACGUUUCAACGAUGGACAUUAGUUGCGCUCCAUUUGUCUCCAGCGCCUCCAUUUGUGCCUCGACAAGAAUCAACAGAUCAUCCGCAUACGCACUCAGUGUGCAGUAUGACUCAAGGCGCCGGAUCAGUACAUCCAUCAGCAGAUCCCAAAUAAUUGGACCGCUGAUUGACCCCUGCGGUCAGCCUCUAGUUACGGGGACAUUAACUUCCUCGUAACUGCUUCGGAUAACUGACCUUCUGCCUGAGAAGAAGCUCUGCCAUAAGCCCAUCUCUCGGUAUCCUAACUCGGCCAAUCGGCGCAGUGCAGCACUCCAUUCCACAUUGUCGAAGGCUCCCUUAAAGUCCACGAAAAUGCCGAGCACGUAUUUCGCAGGGCUGGCGUGAAUACUGCUCUUCACGUGCAUCCAAGCAUCCUCCACACAACGUCAUUGGCGAAAAACCGAACUGCCACCUGCAGUCUUCCGAAAGCACUUCUCUCACACGAUCUACAAUGAUGGUCUCAAGCACUUUUCCGAAAACCGAAAGCAGGCAAAUCCCGCGGUACGACGAUGGCUCACACCUGUCCUUGUCGGGUCCCUUGAGCAGAGCCACCACACGUGGGCAUUUCCACUCUGCAGGGAAGUACCCCGACCGGAUGCAGCUUGAAUAAAGCGCCGUCAGAUGCUGAGGUAUAUUGGGAUCAGGUGUUGUUUUCCUACGAAAGCAAAUUUAAUAUUUUUCGAUCCGAUGGCCGUCAGAACGUGUGGAGAAAGCCAAAAACUGCAUUGGAUAAAAUAAAUUUGGCACCAACAGUGAAACACGGCGGCGGAAAAGUCAUGGUGUGGGGAUGCAUGUCAUCUGCGGAUGUUGGGCAGUUGGUACUUAUAGAAGGAAUCAUGGACAAGACUUAUUACCUCAAUAUUUUGAGGGACAACAUUAAAAAAAGUGCCUCAAACCUAAGCAUGCCGAACUCAUUCACUUUAUAAAAAAUAAAAAACUAAUAGUGCCAUUCAA